CCUCUGUCAUAAUCUGGAAUGAUGAUAUCAAUCAAGUGAAGCAGCUAUCACAGGGUCUGGAACAUAGUACAUCCCAGCCUUCUUGCACAUAGAAACACUACACAGCACUUCAGCUGUAUGUUUGGGGGCCAUUUUAAACAGCAAAAUCAUCAACAGGAAGCAGAAAAUUGUAAAAAUUGUGGCACUAAAUAGACCAUGUAAAGGACACAUGUUUGCAAUAAGAAAGCUGAAACAAGAAGGGGGAGUGUCACCUUAUUUGAUCCAGCUAGAAACUCAGGUGCUGGUAUUCCAGCAACACUCAGGCGGCUGCUCCAGGAGGCUGCAGAGGGGUCCUUUUUAGGCGUCAACAAAACUGGCUAUGGUCACGCCCAUUGGGAAACUCAUUGCUGCCUUCAAGGUGGAAGUUAAAGUCAUCACAGUUCUUUCAUGAAAGGAGAAAACUUCUACAUAGAAGAUGAGAAGCUUCUUUGGGGCAGAGACUAUAGACUCAGAAGCUGUAGGAAUAUUCAGGCACAGACACCAGACCCAGCUUCAUCUCUAACUUGUGGCAAAGGACAGUACAUCCUGGGAUGGGACCCUGUGCUCCCCUAUGCCAUUUAGACAGAGCCUGGGGAGAGUGACUUCCCAGGGUAUCCAUGUUGGAAUCUCUCAUUUGAUUCUUAUUCAAAUUUAGGUUCUGUCAAUAGAAGAUACUAAAGAAAGAAAGCCAGGAGAAGAAAAGAGACUUCUUUCUUCAAGGUCUAAGCUGUUCUAAUAGCAUUAUUCUGGGAAUGGCAUCUUCCACUCCUCCUAGUACAAAGAACCUGCUUCCUCAUACCCCGUCAAGGAACUGCAGCAUCCAGGUGAUGGCCACAGUGGCAGAACCUAGGAAGCCAAGAAGAAACCAGAGAAUGGAGACACAUGGCAGCAAUGGCAAGUCAUCAGACCCAGGAUUUCCCAAAGAACACUGGUCCAGGAAGAUGCUCUGUGAAAAAGUGUUCCCUGGUCAGAGAAAUUUGUGAAACACUUUGCAUACUUAAAAGAAUGUAUGGCACAUCAAAGGUAAUAUGCAAUAAAAGAAUUCAUUUUUUAAAAACCAA